GGCCUAGCACAUCCCACAAAAUUCAGAAGCCCAAUUUCGCGUUAGCCCCGCCGCGCUCGCCGGUGGCCGUCGCCGUGCACAGUGCAGACUACAGAGAGUCAGAGGCCCUUCCCUUCUCCAUGUCCUGUUGAGUCGCUGGUCACCGCCACCGCGUCCUCCCUCCACCGCCGCCGCCGCUUUCUCGCCAUGUCCUCAGCCCUGCGUCUCGCGCCCGCCGUCCACAAACUCCGACCUCACUGCCGCUUCUCCUCCUCCUUCGCUGCCGCCUCCCCAUCCACCCCCACCUCCAGCCCGACCGCGGCCUCCCUCCUCGCCUCCCUCCUCUCCACCAACCCCCCCUCCGUCUCCACCCUCUCCCUCCUCCGCUCCACGCCCGGCCUCGCCGCCGACCUCUACUCCCUACUCGCCGCGCCAUCCCACGGCCUCACGCCCGCCUCCCUCGCGCUCCUCCACUCCCUCCCGGCCGACCACCGUCUCCCGCCUCCCUCCGCGCUGCUCCUCUCCAGGCUCCUCGCACGCUUCCCCUCCCCGGCCGAUGCCUCCCGCUUCCUCCGCGCCUCCCUCGCCGCGGGCGCGCCGGCGCCGGAUGUCUCCGCCUUCAACUCCCUUCUCGCCGCGCUCUGCCGCUCCCGCGACCUUUUCGGCAUGAACAAGCUAUUCGCCUCCAUGCGGGGUGCUUCCGUUCGGCCCGACGUUGUGACGCACGGGAUACUCAUCAACGGUCUCUGCAAGGCCGGCCGCGUCGGGGACGCACUUAGGGUGCUCGACGGAAUGUCUGCUCCGAGCUCCGACGUCCGUCCGGACACGAUCAUUUUAAAUACUGUAUUGGACGGGCUUUGCAAGUGCGGGAGGCUCCAGGAAGCUGUUGUGUUCGUGGAGGAGCGGAUGAAGCGCGUGCACGGGUGCGCACCCAACACGGUUACGUAUAACUGCUUGGCCGAUGCGUUUUGCCAGGUUGGGGAUGUUGCCAUGGCUUGCGAGGUGGUCGGGAGAAUGGAGAGGGAGGGUGUGGUGCCGAACGUUAUCACGAUAAACACGAUUGUUGGUGGCUUCUGCCGGAUUGGGAGGAUUGGAGCCGCGUUGGAGUUCUUCCGGGAGAAAAGGACAGCUUGGCAGGACGCCAGGGGCAAUGCUGUGACCUAUAGCACUUUGGUUGGGGCUUUCCUCCACUGCAACAACGUGGGCAUGGCCAUGGAGUUGUUCCAUGAGAUGGUGGACCAAGGGCAUUCGCCAGAUGCAAUCAUGUAUUUCACCAUGAUAUCGGGAUUGACACAAGCAGGGCGGUUGGAGGAUGCUUGCACCGUGGCGUCUUCGAUGAAGAAGGCAGGGUUUAAGCUGGACACAAAGGCGUACAACAUCUUGAUUGGUGGAUUUUGCAAGAAGAAAAGGUUGCGUGAGGCUUAUGAGUUGCUCGGGGAGAUGAAGGGAGCUGGUCUUCAGCCAGAUGUUUGCACCUACAAUACCUUGUUGUCUGGUUUGUGCAAAGCAGGAGAUUUCUCGGCUGUGGAUGAAUUAUUGGGGAAAAUGAUUGAUGAAGGCUGUCGGCCUUCUGUGGUUACUUUCGGUACACUUGUACAUGGAUAUUGCAAAGUUGGUAAAAUUGAUGAGGCUUUUAGGAUUUUCAGGUCUAUGGAUGAGUCCGGGAUUCAGCCCAGCACUGUGAUAUACAAUACCCUCAUUGACUUCCUCUGCAAGAGGAGAGAUGCCGAUUCAGCUAUCAAGCUGUUUAAUGAGAUGAGUGAAAAGCAUGUGCCUGCAAAUGUAACAACCUACAACGCAUUAUUGAAGGGUCUUCGAGAUGAGAACAUGCCGGAAAAGGCCUUUGAACUUAUGGACCGAAUGAAGGAAGAGAGUAUCAAUCUUUAAUGAACAUAUUGGAGAGAGGGGCAUAAAGGAGGUAGUAACAAUGGCUCCAAGAUUGCAGUCCGAGAGAUGCAAUGCCUAUGGGCCAUCAUUGCAAGGUUGUAACAUGCUUUAAACUCAUAGCAUCAAAAAGGAAAAACUCCAGCGCCACCCUAACAUUCAAACUGGAUCAGAGAUUAAAUGUAAUUGAACCCCUAGCGAGGCUGACAGUGGCUGCCUUCAACUGAGAAAAACGUGUGCCACUGCCUUCUACUUAGGACAGCGGGACACGUUUUUUUAGCACUGCCUUCAACUGAGAUGUACCAGUACUAAGAUAAAAGGUUGCUCCUGCCAAUUGUUUGUUCUGCUACUGGAAAGUCUUGAGCUAGACUCCUGCAUCAAGCAUAAAAGUCAGCAAAAACCAAGUUGGCAUGCAAGGACCACGUCAUGUUUCUUGCAACUUCGGUGAUUUGCUGCUUGUUUCAUGCCUCUUGUAAUGUUUGGUAAUUCUGAUCAAAGCUGAUUGCAUCACAGCGUCAAUUUCGCAGACCUUUUCAUCUGCGUAGCUUAGCUCAUCAAUUUACUUUUGCGAUACUGUGUUUAAGCCGGUGAUGAGGAUGUGCUAACUAACCUGUCGUGCAAGUCUAUCGGGUAUUUUCUCGGAAUACAGUGCUUCAGACCAGGGUGUUAGAAUUUUCACCCUGAGGAAGGAACAGCUGUUGCUGCCUGCUUCCCUGCAACCAACGACUCCACGUCUCCAUUACCGAGCCGAGCUGCUCACCCUGCCACCCGCUAGGGAGAAAUUCAUGGCGCAUCACUUAGGCAGGACAGAGAGUUGCACAGGUCAGAUUCUUCCAUCUCUUGCUUCAGCUUUGAAAUGGUUGUAGGUUUGUGUUGCCAACAUCGAUGGCGCUCUGGCAGCUGGCUCGUUUGCAGUAAGCCAGUAACUAAUCAAAUCUCGUGCACCGGCAUGCAUGGGGAAAGAACUAGAUGUUUGAUUUACCAACUACAAGUACAUGUAAUUCUGGGAACCUUGGCUCGUGACAUUGUGAGAUGCUCAGAUACCGUGCUGCCCUGAAACUCUGGGAACCUUGGCUUAACAAUACGAGUUUAUCUCAAACAAGCUAUCCAGUACGCAGCUUAUUGCACGUA